rnacentral:precursor_RNA from 1 species
AAUAGCGUAUAUUAAAGUUGCUGCAGUUAAAAAGCUCGUAGUUGGAUUUCUGGCUUGAAACAUUUUGCCGGCCACGGUUUCGUGUGUUAGUGCUUGAUGUUCUGGCCAUCCUUCCAAUCGCUGCUUUACUUUUCUUCAUUGAUUAGUAAAUGUGGUAUUGGAUCUUUUACUUUGAAAAAAUUAGAGUGUUUCAAGCAGGCUUUAUGCUAUGAAUACAUUAGCAUGGAAUAAUAAUUUAGGACUUCGGUUCUAUUUUGUUGGUUUCUAGGACUGAAGUAAUGAUUGAUAGGGAUAGUUGGGGGUGCUAGUAUUCAGCGGCCAGAGGUGAAAUUCUCGGAUUCGCUGAAGACUAACUUAUGCGAAAGCAUUCACCAAGGAUGUCUUCUUUAAUCAAGAACGAAAGUUGGGGGAUCGAAGACGAUCAGAUACCGUCGUAGUCUCAACCAUAAACUAUGCCGACUAGGGAUGAGUGAACGUUGCAUUUUUCGACUUCAUUCGCACCUUAUGAGAAAUCAAAGUCUUUGGGUUCCGGGGGGAGUAUGGUCGCAAGGCUGAAACUUAAAGGAAUUGACGGAAGGGCACCACCAGGAGUGGAGCCUGCGGCUUAAUUUGACUCAACACGGGAAAACUUACCAGGUCCAGACACAGUAAGGAUUGACAGAUUGAAGAUCUUUCUUGAUUCU